AUACGUAGGGUGCAAGCGUUAAUCGGAAUUACUGGGCGUAAAGCGUGCGCAGGCGGUUUUGUAAGACAGUGGUGAAAUCCCCGGGCUCAACCUGGGAACUGCCAUUGUGACUGCAAGGCUGGAGUGGGGCAGAGGGGGAUGGAAUUCCGCGUGGAGCAGGGCAAUGCGUAGAUAUGCGGAGGAACACCGAUGGCGAAGGCAAUCCCCUGGGCCUGCACUGACGCUCAUGCACGAAAGCGUGGGGAGCAAACAGGAUUAGAUACCCUGGUAGUCCACGCCCUAAACGAUGUCAACUGGUUGUUGGGGAUUUAUUUUCUCAGUAACGAAGCUAACGCGUGAAGUUGACCGCCUGGGGAGUACGGCCGCAAGGUUAAAACUCAAAUGAAUUGGCGGGG
rnacentral:rRNA from 1 species